CAGCUCUCUCAUGAACAUACUUUUAAUCUCGUUGACCUGUCGUUAUGCUGCGAGGCAUAAAUUCAGAUUUGGAGAUCUUAUGUUCCAUCAUAAAUUGGGCUGGCAGUCUUCCGAUCAACAGAAUAAAACUGUCUCCGACGAGGUGGGUUUUUUAUUCGUCGGAGCUGUUCCAGGAGACGAAGCGGAGGUAGAGUCAGCUUUUCUUCAUAAA